AAAAGUUGGAACUUGCACUCUUUUCCCUGAUUUUGAAAAUCUUGUCCGAGAAAUUAUCGGAUUUCAAAUUUUUCCGAACAAAGUCUCUGAGAUCACUGCAGAGAAGACACCAGUAUGGUUUUAUAGAUUAAACUACAAAAUACUAUUCAGUGAUUGAUUUAUAAACACGAAUAACCUAUUUGGAACGUUUCAGUAAUAAUUUGAUGAAAAGUAUGCCAGUAAAAAAAGAAGACAACAACAAAAGAUCAGUCGCUGCUAAAAGCAAAAUGGAGUAUGAAAGUGGAAUAAAAUCUGUUGACGAAGAGACCAUUAUGUCUUUGCUUGCU